rnacentral:rRNA from 1 species
UACGUAGGUGGCAAGCGUUGUCCGGAUUUACUGGGCGUAAAGGAUGCGUAGGCGGACAUUUAAGUCAGAUGUGAAAUACCCGAGCUUAACUUGGGUGCUGCAUUUGAAACUGGGUGUCUAGAGUGCAGGAGAGGUAAGUGGAAUUCCUAGUGUAGUGGUGAAAUGCGUAGAGAUUAGGAAGAACACCAGUGGCGAAGGCGACUUACUGGACUGUAACUGACGCUGAGGCAUGAAAGCGUGGGGAGCAAACAGG